rnacentral:lncRNA from 1 species
AACAUAGCUCUUUUCCCAUGUAUCCAUCUAAUAGGAUAUAUAUAUCUAGCAAAAGUAGCUCUACUUUAUUUUCACAAUUUGUGUUUUUAUCUCCAUAAAUUGAACACAUAUUAGUCCAUAAAAACUGUCAUUUUCUUUAUUUCUUUUUUUCAUUGUAAAGUUUUUUUAAACAACAUAUUAUGAUAUCAAUACAUUAUAUUUUAGAAUU